UGGGGAAUUUUGGACAAUGGGCGCAAGCCUGAUCCAGCCAUGCCGCGUGCAGGAUGAAGGCCCUCGGGUUGUAAACUGCUUUUGUACGGAACGAAAAGGUGCUCUCUAAUACAGGGCAUUCAUGACGGUACCGUAAGAAUAAGCACCGGCUAACUACGUGCCAGCAGCCGCGGUAAUACGUAGGGUGCGAGCGUUAAUCGGAAUUACUGGGCGUAAAGCGUGCGCAGGCGGUCUUGCAAGACAGUGGUGAAAUCCCCGGGCUCAACCUGGGAACUGCCAUUGUGACUGCAAGGCUGGAGUACGGCAGAGGGGGAUGGAAUUCCGCGUGUAGCAGUGAAAUGCGUAGAUAUGCGGAGGAACACCGAUGGCGAAGGCAGUCCCCUGGGCCUGUACUGACGCUCAUGCACGAAAGCGUGGGGAGCAAACA
rnacentral:rRNA from 1 species